GAGGGUAUAGCUCAGUGGUAGAGCGCAUGCUUAGCAUGCAUGAGGUCCUGGGUUCAAUCCCAGUACCUCCU
rnacentral:tRNA from 1 species